rnacentral:rRNA from 1 species
CAGCCGCCGCGGUAAUACGGAGGGCGCGAGCGUUACCCGGAUUUACUGGGCGUAAAGGGCGUGUAGGCGGCCUGGGGCGUCCCAUGUGAAAGGCCACGGCUCAACCGUGGAGGAGCGUGGGAUACGCUCAGGCUAGAGGGUGGGAGAGGGUGGUGGAAUUCCCGGAGUAGCGGUGAAAUGCGCAGAUACCGGGAGGAACGCCGAUGGCGUAGGCAGCUACCUGGUCCACUUCUGACGCUGAGGCGCGAAAGCGUGGGGAGCAAACCGGAUUAGAUACCCCGGUAGUCCCUGUCUCUUAUAC